rnacentral:piRNA from 1 species
AGAUUGCCAUAAGGGCA